AUACUCCCUUCGGCAGCACGUAUACUAAAGUUGGAAUGGCACAGGGAAGAUUAGGGUGGCCCCUGUGCAAGGAUGGCAUGCAAAUUCGUGAAGCGUUCCAUAUUUUU